ensembl:miRNA
AAUUUAAAAAUGUAUAUAGCUGGGCAGUGGUGGCACACACCUUUAAUCCCAGCACUAGGGAGGCAGAGGCAGUUGGAUUUCUGUGAUCAGCCUGAUCUAC